rnacentral:lncRNA from 1 species
CUGUGUAGGACACAAGCAGGAAGAUAAACCACAAUGUGGUGAGCAGUCCAGUAUUGGAAAUCAUCAGCAGCUCAAGCAUAAAAAUGUCAGUACAGGCAAGUUUGAGGACCUGGGGGACAUCACAGUAGAAAGUGUCAAGAACAUUGGGUCCACAGAAGGGGAGGGGCAGCAAAAGGGCAAUCUGCACGAUGGAGUGGACAAAGCCCCCCACCCACGAGGCCACUAUUAACCCAAUGCAACGGCCUCUACUCAUGAUGGUCACGUGGUGCAGGGGGCUUGGAGAUGGCCACAUACCGAUCUAAUGCCAUCACUGACAAAGAAAAUACAUCCACCCCUCCAAUGAGGUGGAAGAAAAAUAUCUGAGUGAAGCAGCCAUUGAAGGAGAUGGUCUUUCUCUCUGACAGAAGGUCCACCAGAACCUUGGGAGCUGUGAUGGAGGAAAAGCAGAUGUCGGCAAUAGACAAAUUCCGGAGCAAAAAAUACAGGGGGGUGUGAAGGCGAGAUUCACAGGUCACCGUGACCAUGAUGAGGAGAUUUCCCAGCAGAGUUGUCACAUACACCCAAAGCAGGAAAAGGAAUAAGACCCAGUUCAGUUCUUGAUUCUGAGUUAGGCCAAGGAAAAUAAAUUCUUUGACCCUGGUACAGUUUUUCAGCUCCAUUGAGUCAUUUUCUUUGUCUCACUUUUGUUUCAAGCUAUUUCAUUUGAAAAGACUUGGCUCUUUAUUUCGUUUUCUUCCUAAGCACUAAGAAUGAAAUUCAGAAUCUUCUUCAUGUGAUUGUGGUGUUUGCAAUUUGUUGAGUUGUCCAAAUUUUUAAGAUUUCAAUCAGUUUGGUUAUCAAAUCAAAAUAUAACAUGAAAAGUCAUUCAAUAUUUCUUUACCUAUAAAACUAUUUUUGAAGAGAAUAAGCAUUUAUGUUAAGAAGUGAUGUUUACAUUGCACAUUUUAGUUAAUUAGUUUAUUUUCAUUUGUAAACUGUAUUAUUUUUUAUGUAUUACUCACAAAUUGAUUGAAUGUCAGGAACUGUCUGAAGCAUAAAUACAAAGAUUAGUAAAACAUGGUUCCAGGCACUGUAGAGUCAUAGUCUACAAGUUUAAUAUUCAUAUGAGCAAACUCUGUGUUUCACUUCAACAGGGUUUUGUCUUGCUAAAAAAAAAGAUAUCACUCUGUUUCUCAUUGCGACGUUGAUGUCACAUGGGUCAGUUUCCUUGCUGUUGGCUGUGUUGUGUUGAAUUUCUUAAAAUUGCAACCUAUUGUUCCAUGUAUGUAACUUGUCAUAGUGAUUACCUUAUACUAAUCAGAUUAUUUGCUUAAUAAGUAUUUUAAAAUAUUUAAAAUUUACUAUUGGGAAACACAUUGAAACCAUAUGUAAAUCCAAAUCUCAAAGAAUAUUUUUAAUUCCUUUUAUUGUGAUAAAAACACUUAAACACGAGAGCUACCCUCUUAACAAAUUUUUGGGUGCACAAUACAGUAUAGCCAUAGAGCUGUACAGCAAUUCUCUAAAACUUAUUCAUUUUGCAUAACUGAUGUGAUCCUUGCUUGAAUGUGGGGGAGAGAGUGAAGACAGCGACCCACUUCUGAGAGGUGGUGCAUACACAGUAUCAACCUCACUCUCCUCCGCCUCUUUCCCUUUGUGAUUCAAAGCCAAGAGAGUAGAGGCAUCACACAGCAGGUAGCUAUGUACACAUCUUUAGAAUAACGCCUAUAUUUUAUAAGCUGUUAUUGAUCAUUCUCAGGAAAUUUUAUAAUUACUAUUUACUCCACCUUACACUUAGAAAGUGAACAUUUAUUGCAAUGUUCGAAUGUAUACGAACAAAUGAGAUCACAUUGCCAAAGUGGUUACAGCCUAGCAAAAGUGGAUGAUUUGCAUAAAUUGAUGAACAUAAUGCAUGGUAAAAUGUAAAAUGUCAAGAGAAAAGUAGAGGUAGAUUUGGGUGAGAUAGGAGCGAACCUAGGAGAUAUGACUUCCAGCAGUAACAAAAGCUACUACUUUUUGAGUGUUUACUGUGUGUGAAUAAUUAUGAAAUGCUGAUUUAUUGAAUUUUCACCACCAUCCUUUAGGAAGUAUUAAUGUUAUUCUUUUUUUUUUCACAUGGAAUAUGUUAUGCAUCUAUGUUUGGCUGAAACAAAGGGGAAGAUGGAAAAAAGGAUGGAAGGAACAGUGUUUUGUUUCCCCCUUCAAUCUUAUUUAUAUGGGGUCUAAUUUUGCAUAACAAGAGUAUUUGGUAAAGCCUGUUUGAAGAUGAGAAUUUCACAGAAAGGGGCUCCAGAAAACCAAUAAAUGUUGACCUUAGACUGAGGCUGCCUCAUCAAUAAGCAACUCAAAGGAUCAUAGCAAAUGGGUGAUGCCUUCUCUCACACUGAAUGGACCACAUUUCUGAAUCCCUCUUAACACAUCACCUCUCUUCCAAUAGUUAACACCCACCUUUGUUGUUUCUGUCACUGAGAAGAUCAUCUUGUCUCUGAAGCAUUUAAUAUACCUGGAAAAUAUCAAAGUCAAACUAUUUAUGUGUAAUCAAUAACGACAUCUCAAUGUCACUAUCCAUAACUUUAACUUUAGCUAAAGCUUAACAUCUUUACCUAAUACCUUUGAUUCUGAAACUCCAACUGCUGAUUGUAUGUUAGUACGUACAGAGCAGAACAGAACACUGGCAAUGUUAAUCUUGGAAAAUAUUGUUUCUGAAGGUAGAGCCUUUUGGAAGACUAGAUAUCUUAGUGUCUUUAUUCUUCUCUCAGGAGAGAAAGGGCAGAUUCAAAGAAUCACAUCUUCUUGAACUUCCAGUGUCCCUGUCUUAUGUGCAAAUCCCUCAGCCUCAGGCUUAAUAUAAGAAUUGCAAAGGGAAUAAUAUUGGACAAGGAAGCAAAAGUCAAGUGCCUGAUUCAGCUUUUGAUGAUGAAGUUUCAUCGGGAGUUAUUAGGAAGUUACUGAGACAUGCACAUGUGUAAACACACAUACACACACACAGACGGACACAUUUUGAUUAGUAUCCAAACUACUUAGAGUCAGUAGAGGAAAUCUAUCUGCUUAUCCAUAGCUGAAUCAGAACUUUGUUAAAACAUGCCACAUGCUGUGCCUGAGAGUACCAGGGUCCAGUUUUCAUGGCUUGUGAGGCUCAAAGAACACUAUAUAUAAAUGAGCUUCAAUUAGAUUGCCAAAAAAAUAGUAGAGAACUGGACCUCAAAUCCUUUGCUACCACUCCAGUUUCUAAUUACACACAGAAUUGUUAUAGUCCCCUGAUGUUGCUAUAAGUCUCCACAUGUAGAGAAACAUGACUUAGAUGACUUUGGGGAGUGCACAUUUUUCCUGUUUUCCAACACUUUACUCAUAUGGGAAUCUCUCAAUUUGGAUUACCGCUAGAUAAGUAUGUUAGUAAAGCUGUCUACAAAAUCACAAUAGUUAUUUAAGAUUAACUCAGAUUAUUGAAUGGUUUGAUCCUAUGUAGAAUGCACUUCCACUGUUUGCAGAAUGCUGAUGGGUUUGGAUUUACCUGCUUUUCCAUCUUGUUUUAGUACAUUAAUACUAGUCUACACAGAUUUAAAACUGCUUGAAACACGUUGUGUGUUUUAGGUGGGUAAUUCCUUCUCCCCCCAGCUUUACUGAGAUAUAAUUAGCAUAUAUCAUUGAGUGUGUUUAAGGUAUACAAUGUGUCGAUUUAAUACAUUUUUGUGUGCGAAGAAGAUUGGACCUGAGCUAACAUCUGCCAAUCCUCUCAUUUUGCUUGAGGAAGAUUGUUGCUGAGCUAGCAUUUGUGCCAAUCCUCCUCUGUUUUGUAAACAGGAUGCCUCUACAGUAUGGCUUGAUGAGCUGUGUGUAGGUCUGCACCCGGGAUCUGAACCUGCAAACUCCAGGCUGCCCAAGCAGAGCAUUCAAAGUUUACCACUGCAUCACUGGAUGCCCUGAUUUGGUACAUUUUUAAAUGGAAAAUGAUUAUCAUCUUAGUGUUAGCUAACACUUUCAUCACCUCACUGUUCUUUUUGGUGGUGAGAUCAUUUAAGAUAUACUCUCUUAGCAACUUUCAAGUAUUGUUACCACAGUGUUAACUAUAAUCACUAUCUGUACAUUAGAUCUUGAAAACUUAACUCAUCUUAUAACCUGAGUUUGUAUACUUUGACCAACAUCUCCUCACUUCUCCCACUCCCCAGGACCUAGUAACUUCCAUUCCCUCUACUCUGUUCCUAUGAGUUCAGAUUUUUAGAUUCCAUGUAUAUAUGUGGUCAUACAGUAUUUGUCUUUAUCUGAUUUCAUUUACUUUGCAUAAUGCCCUCAAGGUCUAUCCAUGUUGUUGCAAAUGGAAGGAUUUUCUAUUUUUUAUGACUGACUACAUCUUCUUUAUCCAUCUAUCCAUUGAUGGACAUAUAGAUUGUUAUUAUAUCUUGGAUAUUGUGAAUAAUGCUGCAAUGAUCAUAGAAGUGCUGAUACCUCUUCAGGAUCUUUAAUUUCAUUUCCUUUGGACAUAUACCCAGAGAUGGGAUUGCUGGAUCAUAUGGCAGUCCUAUUUUUAUUUUUUUCAGAAACCUCUAUAGUGUUUCCCAUAGUGGCUGUGCCAACGUAUAUUUCUACUAACAGUGCACAAGGGUUUUCUUUCCUCCACGUCCUCAUCAACACUUGUUAUCUCUUGUCUUUUUGAUGAUAACCAUUCAAACGGGUGUGAAGUGAUAUCUCAUUGUGGUUUUGAUUUGCAUUUCUCUCAUGUUUAGUGAUGUUGAGGACCUUUUCAUGUGCCUAUUAAAUUUGAAUGUCUUGUUUGAAAUAAUAUUCAGUUCCUCUGUCCCUUUUUAAAUCUGAUUGUGUAUUUUUUUGAUAUUGAGUUUAUCAGUUCUUUACAUAUUUUAUCUGAUAUGUGAUUUGCAAAUAUUUUUUCCCUUUCUGUAGCUAGUCUUUUCAUUUGUUGAUUGUUUCUUUGGUUGUGCAGAAGAUUUUAGUUUGAUGUGGUGUCAUUUAUUGUUUUUGCUUUUAUUGCCUGUGCUUUUGUUAUCAUAUCCAAAUAAUUGUUGGCAAGACCAAUGUCAGGGAGCUUUUCCACUGUUUCUUCUUCUAGGAGUUUCAUGGUUUCAGGUCUUAUGUUUAAAUCUUUAAUCCAUUUCAAGUAAUUUUGUGAGUUGUGUAAGAUAGAGGGCUGAUUUCUUUAUUAUGCAUGUCAUUAUCCAGUUUUCCCAGGAUCAUUUAUUGAAGAAAGUAUCCUUUCUCCAUUGUAUAUUCUUGGCUGUUUUGUUGUAAAUUAACUGACUGCAUAUGCAUGGGUUUAUUUCUGGGCUCUUGAUUCUGUUCCAUUGGUCUGUAUGUAUAUUUUUAUGCCAGAAUUCUACUGUUUUGUAGUAUAUAGUUUGAAAUCAUAAGUGUGAUGCCUCCAGCUUUGUUCUUCUUUCUCAGGAUUGCCUUUUCUAUUUCUGUGAAAAAUGCUAUUGGAAUUUUGAUAGGGAUUGCACUGAAUUUGUAGAUGUCUUUGAGUAGCAUGGACCUUUUACAAUAUUAAUUCUUCUAAUCCAUGAGCAUGGAAUAUCUUUGCAUUUAUAUAUAUCUUCUUCAAUUUCUUUCAUCAAUGUCUUAUGGUUUUCAGUGAACAGAUCUUUCAUGUCCUUGGUUAAACUUCUUUCUAGGUAUGCUAUUCCUUUGCUGCAAUUGUAAGUGACAUUGUUUUCUUAAUUUCUUUUUCUCAUAGUUCAUUGUUAGUGUAUAGAGAUGAUUAACUUUUUGUCUUUGAUGAUUUUCAAUUUUGCUACAAUGUGAGUAUAUGUGGAUUACUUUUUAUGUAUUCUGUCAUGAUAUGUUGUGAAUCUGAGAAUUUGUAUUUUUCAUUAGUUGUGAAAAUUUCUCAGUUAUAUCUCAUAAAAUAGUGCCUCUUCCUCCUCAUUUUUUUCUUCCUGAAACUCAUGUCACAUAUAUCAUUAAUUGAACUAGUUUGUUUUCUUUUCCGUGUCUCCUAACCACCGUUCUCAGGUAUUCUAUCAUGUAUUCCAUCACGUAUGUGAUCCAUUUCUGGGAGUUUCUUCAGUUCUUUAUAGUUUUCAUUCCUAGAAGUUCUGUUUUAUCUUUUUACAAAUCUCCUUCUUUUCUUUUAUCACCUUGUUUCUUGCUCAUGUUUUUAAAAUAUCUCAUUUAAAUUUUUUUCUUUUAGCUUUAAUAUUUAUAUUAUAUAUCUGAUUAUUCCAGUAGUCAAAGUCCUUGAGAGCCUGAUUGUGUUUUGGUUGUGUCUUUUGAUUCUUGCUAAUAAGGACUUGUUUCUUCAUGCUUUUUGCUAUUUUGAAUUAUGAAUUUAUGCUGAGCUAUUUAUGUGUAAAUCUUGGAAGGCUUGGGUUCAGCAUGCAUUCCUUCAGAGAGGGCAAAUAUUUGGUUCUUUUGGGCAUCACAGGGCAUUACUAACACUGCAUCACUCUUAGUUAAUUUUUCACUUUGGGGCUUCCCAUUCCAUGUAGCCAUUACAAAAUUGAACCCCAAACUCGCACCAGGGUUUUCAAUUGUCAGAAGAGAUUAUCUUUAUUCCACUCAAAGCCCAGGGUGAGGCAGAGAAGUUUUACUCUUAUCUUCUUUGCUGGUCGGUGGAUUUUUUUUUCCAGUUUACCCUUUCACUGAUGGAGGAGUAUUCAAUUUUCUGGUUUCCUGCCCUCUGUCUACUUUUGGUCCUGAGCCUUUCCCUUCCUUUCCUGUGAGUCUUGACAUACACUUAAGUGGAUGUUUGCUAGAAGCACUUCUAUUGUGUGUGUGAGUGUUUAAAUCAGGACUUUAUUUCAGUAUAUGUGGUCUUUCAUAUUACCUGAGAUAGCUCUAUUACAUUUUCUCCGUGGAUAUCAGUGGUGUGUAGGAGACCAAUGAUGUAUGCAAUUUGAUUUAAUGUGUGAGCGCCUAAUUGAAUUCUUUUAAUAUUAUCAAUAGUUUUUCAGUGAAUUCCUUUAUAUUAUUUAGAGAACAUCUUUUCAAUAACUGGGAAUAACUUUUUCCUCCAGCUUUCCAAAACUUAUAUACUUUCUUAUUUUUUUCUUGUGUUUUUGAAGUGUAAGUGAAUUCAAGUUUAAAGAUUAAUAUUAGUGGUGAUAAUGUGCAUCAAUGUGUAGUCAUGGAUAAUAAUGGAAAUUAUUUUAAUCUUUAAUCAUUAGGUAUAAUGUUUACUAUAUGGUUCUUGUAGAUAUUCUUUAUCUUUAUUCCUUAUCUUCUCUAUCUUAUUUGAUAAAGAAUAAAGAUAUUCUUUAUCAAGAUAUUUUUUUCUUCAGUUCCUGACCUGUUAGGUGCUUUUUUCCCACAAGGAUGUGGGUUAAAUUGUAUUGAAUAUCUUCUGCAACACUUAGAUAAUCACGUUGUUUAUCCUUUUAAUCUGUUAUUUUGGGAACAAUAUUACUGCUAAAUAUUAAUAUAAUGAUAAUAUUAAUAUUCAGCAUUAUUUCUUUUUGAAUUUCUGGAAUAAACACUUCUCAAUAAUUAUUUGACAUUGCUGUAUUUCAUUGCUAUGUAAUUUGUUAAUGUUGUAUAAGAUCUUUAUGUCUAUGUUCAAAGAUGUGAUUUUUGUGUGUACAUUUAUUAGAUGUGUGAUAUUAUUAGGUAUAUUUGAUGCUAACAUCUAGUUUGCAGAUAUAGUUAUGCUGUCCAUAUAUAGUAUUAAGAGCUUUCUAAAAUUUGUGAGAAAAUUGAAAGUUACUGGCUCCUUAAAUAUUUAUUGGAAAUCACCCACAACAAAUUUGAGCCUGAUGCCUUUUUAAAUGCUCUGUCUUUGACAACCUUUUCAAUUCUUUUACAUUUAUUGAUCUGUUAAGAUUUUUUCCCCUUCCUUUUAGUCCAUUUUCAUAACUUAUAUUCCAUGAAAAUUAUAUGCUCCAUUCUAUCCAGUAAAUUUUAAAAAUUACAUUUCUAUGAACUGAGACUUUCUUUUUUUCAGUUGGCUGUGAGUCUGUAGAGUGCAUUUGUUUUCAUGUUCAAUCAGAAAAGUGUAACUCUUGAAUGUGCCUGGAUCAUUGGGAAAAAAAGGAGGGUGUCUAGAAGGGAGUAUCUUAUCAGGUUCCCAUAAGAUAAGUAUUUUCAUGGCUUCCAAAAUAAGGAAUUGUAGCAGUAGCAUCUUUGGUCCCCUACAGUGAAGAAAAAUAGGAUUUUCAAACUUUCUUUUAAUACCGAGAAAAUGAUGAACUGCACAUAAAAAAUGUAAUGUGCUGUCAAUGAUCAGAAUUUGGUUAUAAAAACAUCUGUUUUGUACUAGUGAGUUGAUUGCAGUCUUACGUGUUCCUAAAACACGUGCCUGACAAAAUAACACGUUUCCUUUUUUUGGUUUUUUAUGUUUCUUUUAAAAAUUUUACUGAGGUCAUAAUAGUUUAUAACAUUGAGAAAUUUCAAUUGUACAUUAUUAUUUGUCACUCACCAUAUAUAUGUGGCCCUUUACCCAAUAUGCCCACCCCAAAACCCCUUCCUCUCUGGUAACCACUAAUCUAUUCUCUUUGUCUUUGUUUUUUUUCAUCUUCCACAUAUAAGUGAAAUCAUACGGUGCUUAUCUUUUUCUGUCUGGCUUAUUUUACUUAACAUAAUACCCUCAACUUCCAUCCAUUUUGUUGUAAAUGGGAUGAUUUUGUCUUUUUUAUGGCCGAGUAGUAUUCCAUUUUAUGGCUGACUAGUAUUCCAUUAUAUAUAUAUGUAUACACACACACCACAUCUAUCUAUCUCUCUCUCUAUAUAUGUAUACGCCACAUCUUCUUUAUUCAUUCUUCCACAGAAGGGCACUUGGGUUACUUCCACAUCUUGGCUAUUGUGAAUAAUUCUGAAAUGAACAUUGGGGUGCAUAAGUUACUGUGAAUUGUUGAUUUCAAGUUUGUUGGAUAAAUAUCCAGUUGUGAGAUAACUGGGUCUUAUGGCAUUUCUAUUUUUUAAAUUUUUUGAGAUGUCUCUAUACCAUUUUCUGUAGUGGCUGCACCAGUUUGCAUUCCCAUCAGCAGUGUGUGAGGGUUCCCUUUUCUCCACAACCUCUCAAAAAAAAUUUGUUGUUUUUUGUCUUGGUAAUUGUAGCCAUUCUAACAGGUGUAAGGCGAUAUAUCAUUGUAGUUUUGAUUGCAUUUCCCUGAUGACUAGCGAUGUUGAACAUCUUUUCAUAUUCCUGUUGGCCAUUGUACAUCUUGUUUGGAAAAUGUCUGUUCAUAUGCUCUGCCCAUUUUUUGAUUGGAAUUUUUGGUGGUGUUGUUGAGUUGUUUGAGUUCUUUAUAUAUUUUAGAGAUUAACCACUUGUCAGACAUACGAUUUGCAAAUAUUUUCUCCCAGUUGGUGGGUUGUCUUUUCUUUUUGUUCAUGGUUUCCUUUGCCUUUCAGAAGUUCUUCAGUCUGAUGAAGUACCAUUUGUUUGUUUUUUCUUUUGUUUCCUCUCCCCGAUUAGACACAGUAUUUGAAAACGUACUUCUAAGACGGAUGUCAAAGAGUGUACUGCCUAUGUUUUCUUCUAAGAGUUUUAUGGUUUCAUGUCUUACUUUCAAGUCUUUAAUCCACUUUGAGUUAAUUUUUACCUAGAGACCAGUGUAAAAGUAAUGGUCUACUUUCCUUCUUUGGUAUGUGGCUGUCCAGUUUUCCCAAUGCCAUUUGUUGAAGAGACUUUCCUUUCUCCAUUAUAUGUUCUUAGCUCCUUUGUCAAAGAUCAGCUGUGCAUAGAAGUGUGGUUUUAUUUCUGCACUUUCAAUUCUGUUCCAUUGAUCUUGUGUCUGUUUUUGUGCUGGUGCUAUGCUGUUUUGAUUACUAUAGUUUUGUAGUGGAUUUUGAAGUCAGGGAUUGUGAUGUCUCCAGCUUUGUGCUUUUUUCUAAGGAUUGCUUUAGCUGUUCUGGGUCUUUUGUUCCUCCAUAUGAAUUUUAGGAUCCUUUGUUCUAUUUCCAUGAAGAAUGUCAUUGGGGUUCUGAUUGGGAUUGCAUUGAAUCUGUAUAUUGCUUUAGGUAAUAUCGACAUUUUAACCAUGUUUAUUCUUGAUCCAUGUGCAUGGACUAUCAUUGCAUUUCUUUAUGUCAUCAUUGAUUUCUUUCAAUAAUGUCUUAUAAUUCUCAGUGUAUAGGUCUUUCACCUCCUUGGUUAAAUUUAUUCCUAGAUAUUUUAUUCUUUUUGUUGCGAUUGUAAAUGGGAUUGCAUUCAUGAGUUCUCUGUGUGUUAGUUCAUUAUUAGAGUAUAGAAAUGCACUGGUUUUCAUAAAUUGAUUUUGAACCCUGCAACUUUGCUCUAGUUGUUGAUUAUUUUGAAUAGUUUUCUGAUAGAUUCUUUAGAGUUUCCCAUAUAUAAAAUCAUGUCAUCUGCAAACAGCAAGAGUUUCACUUCUCUCUUUCCAGUGUGGAUACCUUUCAUUUCUUUUUCUUGCCUAAUUGCUCUGGCCAAACCCUCCGGUACUAUGUUGAAUAAGAGUGGUGAGAGUGGGCACGCUUGUCUUGUGCCUGUUCUCAGAGGGAUAGUAUUCAUUUUUUCAGCAGAGUUUGAUGUUGGCUGUGGGUUUGUCAUAUAUGGCCUUUAUUAUGUUGAAGUACUUUCCUUCUAUAUCCAUUUUGUUGAGAGUGUUUUUUUAAUCAUAAAUGGAUGUUGGAUCUUGUCAAAUGCUUUCUCUGCAACUAUUGAGAUGAUCAUGUGAUUUUUAUUCCUCAUUUUGUUAAUGUGGUGUAUCACAUUGACUGAUCUGCAGAUGUUGAACAACGCCUAUGUCCCUGGUAUAAAUUCAACCUCAUCAUGGUCUAUGAUCCUUUUAAUGUAUUGCUGUUUUUGGUUUGUCAUUAUUUAGUUGAGACUUUUUGUGUCUAUGUUCAGCAGUGAUAUUGGGCCUGUAAUUUUCUUUCUUUGUGUUGUCCUUCUCUGGCUUUGGGAUCAGGGUGACGUUGGCCUUGUAAAAUGUGUUAGGAAGUGUUCAGUCUUUCUUCAAUUAUUUGAAAUAAUUGAGAAGGCUAGGUACUAAAUCUUCUUUGAAUGUUUGAUAGAAUUCUCCAGAGAAGCCAUGUGGUCCUGGACUUUUAUUUUUUGGCAUUUUUUUGAUUGCUGUUUCUAUCUCUUUGCUUGUGAUUGGUCUAUUCAGAUUCUCUAUUUAUUCUUGGUUCAGUUUUGGAGGAAGUAUGAGUGUAAGAAUUUAUUCAUGUCUUCUAUGUUAUCCAAUUUGUUGGUACAUAGUUUCAUAGUAUUCUCUUAUAAUCCUUUGUAUUUCUGCGGUAUCCAUUGUAAUUUCUCCUCUUUAAUUUUUAAUUUUAUUUAUUUGAGCCUUCUCUCUUUUUUUCUUAGUAAGUCUUGCUACAGAUUUGUCAGUUUUAUUUAUCUCCUCAAGGAACCAACUCUUAGUUUCAUUGAUCUUUUCUAUUGUGUUUUUGGUUUCAAUCUCAAUUGUUCCUGCUCUAAUUUUUAUCAUUUCCAUCUUUCUGACUUUGGGCUUUGUUUGUUCUUCUUUUUCUAGUUCUGUUAGGUAUAGUUUAUGAUUAUUUAUUUGAGAUUUUUCUUGUUUGUUAAUGUGGGCCUGUAUUGCUAUGAAUUUCCCUCUUUGAACUGCUUUUGUUGCAUCUCAAGUGAGUUGUUAUGGUGUACUUUCAUUUUCAUUUGUCUCCAGAUAUUUUUUGACAUCUCCUUUAAUUUCUUCAAUUAUCCAUUUGUUAUUCAGUAGCAUGUUCUUUAGUCUCCACAUAUUUGUGUCUUUCCCAGCUUUUUACUUGGAGUUGAUUUCUAAUUUCAUACCAUUAUGGUUGAUAUGGUUGGAAAAUCUUCUUAAAUCUAUUGAGGCUUACUGUGUUUCCAAAUAUAUGGUCUAUCUUUGAGAAUGUUCCAUGUGCACUUGAGAAGUAUGUGUAUUCUGCUGAUUUUGGAUGGAGUGUUAUUUUUAUAUCUAUUAGGUCCAUCUUGUCUAGUUUUUCAUUUAGUUCCACUAUUUCCCUGUUGACUUUCUUUUUUCUAUUUUCUAAUUUAUAAUCUUUUUAUGGCUUUCCAUUCUUAUUGCAGUAACAUUGGUUUAUAACAUUAUAUAAAUUUCACUUGUCCAUCACUAUAUUUCAAUUAUUGUGUAGAUUACAUGAUGUUCACCCCCCAAAGACUAAUUACAAUCCGUCAUCACAUAUAUGUGCCUAAUCACCGUCUAAUGGAAUUUCUGUAUGGAUGAUCUAUCCACUGGUGUAUGUGUAGUGUUCAGGUCCCCUAAUGUUAUUAUGUUGCAUUUAAUAUGUCGUUUUAGGUCAAUUAAUAGUUGCUUUACGUACUUUGGUGCUCCUGUGUUAGGUGCAUAUAUAUUUAUAAGAGUUAUGUCCUCUUGCUAGAGUUUCCCUUUUAUCUUUAUAUAAUGCCCCUUUUUGUCUCUUUGCCUUUUUUAUCUUGAAGUCUACUUUGUCUGAUAUAAGUAAGGCAACACGUGCUUUCUUUUGUGUGCCAUUAGCUUGGAAUACCAUUUUCCAUCCCUUCACUCUAGCUUAUGUUUGUCUUUAGAGCUAAGAUGUGUUUCCUGGAGGCAGCAUACUGUUGGGUCUUGUUUUUUAAUCCAUCCAACCAAGCUGUGUCUUUUGAUUGGAGAUUUCAAUCCAUUUAUAUUUAGACUGAUUUUUGAUAGAUGAGGGCUUAAUUCUGCCAUUUUAUUACUUGAUUUACAAUUUUUCUGUAUUCCCCUUGUUUCUCAUUCUGUGUAUUUCAGACUAUCAAUUCAGUUUAAUGGCUCUCCAGGAUGAUUUUCUCAUUAGUCAUCCUUUAUGUCUCUGUUCUGAUUUUUUGUUUAGUGAUUACCAUGCAGUUUGUAUAAAAGAUCUUGAGUCUAUUUUCUGAUUAUCUCUUAUCUCCUCAGUCCAAGCAGGUUCCAUCCCUUUCUUUUUCCCGUCUAACUUAUUGUUGUCACAACUUAUCCCAUUUUGUAUUAUGAGUUUGUGGUUAAAAUGAAGGGAUUACAUUUAUUCUUGAUGAUUUCCUUCCCUUUAUUAUUAGUUUUCUAAUUAAGUGUUUGCUAAUCUGUUCUGAUAGCGAGUUGUAAUUUUCUGAUGUUGUCUGCCUAUUUAUCUCCUUCCUCAAGGCUUUGUAAGUGCUUUUUUUUUAUAGAUAUGAGGGCCUUCUUGAUCAUUUCUUGUGGAGGAAGUCUUGUGGCCAUGAACUCCUUCAGCUUUUGUUUAUCUGGGAAAGUUUUUAUUUCUCCAUCAUAUCUGAAGGAUAUUUUCACUAGAUAGAGUAUGCUUGGCUGAAAGUUUUUGUCUUUCAGAAUUUUGAAUGUAUCAUUCCACUCUCUCCUAACCUGUAGGAGUUCUGCUGAGAAAUCUUAAAGUUUGAUAGGGGUUCCUUUGUAGGUUUUCUUCUUCCUUGCUUCCCUUAGUAUUUUUUCUUUGUCAUUGACUUUUUCCUGUUUUACUAAUAUAUGUCUUGGAGGAGGUCUUCUUACAUUGAUGUAACUAGGAGUUUUAAUAGCUUCUUUUAAUUGUAGUUCCAGCUCCUUCCCCAGGUUUCAGAAAUUCUCAGCUAUUAUUUCUUUGAUCAAGCUCUCUGCUCCAUUAUCUCUCUCUUCUCCCUCUUAAAUACCCAUAAUUCUUAUGUUGCAUUUUCCACUUGAGUUGGAUAUUUCUCAGAGAAUUUCUUCAUUUCUUUUUAGUCUUCAUUGUCUCUCCUACUGCAUCUGAGGAAUUUCUAUAUUUUUAUCCUCUAAAUUGCUAAUUCUGUCCUCCAUAAUAUCAGCUCUGUUGUUUAAAGACUCCAGAUUUCUCCUUAUCUCAUUCAUUGUGUUUUACAUCUCCAACAUUUCUGAUGCUUUUUUUCUUUAACGUUUCAAUCUCGUUUGUGCAGAAUUCUCUCUGUUCAUUAAUUUUAUUCCUGAUUUCAUUGAUCUGUUUUCUGAGUUCUCUUGUAACUAAUUGAAUCUUUUUAUGAUAGCUAUUUUGAAUUCUCUGUCAUUUAGAUUGUAAGUUUCUGUGUCUUCUGGAUUGAUUUCUGGGUGUUUGUCUUUUCCUUCUUGUCUGGAUUACAUAUACCUCUUCAUAAUAUUUGAUGGGGUGGAUUUGUCCCUUUGCAUAUUGAUAGUAUCUGGUGGCUGAUUUCACCUGCUGCCACUUGGGAGGGAGGAGCUGUGUUUUCUGAACCUGCCGUGAUCCACAUCAGCUGUGUCUAUCUGAUCCUGAGCCAUUCCUUGGGAUUGCAGUGGUCCUGUAGGCUCCUCCACCAAAGAUAAAGUGAUCACAUGGGGGCUCAGGGCUGCCACCACCUGCUCCCACAGUACUGCCAUGAUGCACUCCCUCAUUCUGGUCCACAGCAGUACUGUGGGUAUUCACAGCAGCUGGAAGCUCAUUCGCCUGGGUGUGCAGAUCUACCACUGUCUCCUCCUUGGUCUCACUAACCAUUGUGCUUGGCUUCCUAUUGGUUUUGAGCCUAAGCCACUUCCAUGGUGGCACUGUGGGCUCUCUUGCUGGAUGUGAAACCUAUCACGUGGGGGAUCAGGGCUGCCAUCACCUGUUCCUACAGUCACACUGUGGUGCACUCCCACCCUUGGGGCCACAACGGUACUAUGGGUGCUCCAGCAGGGGAAGAAGUUGUACACAUGCAAAGGGCAGCUGGGUGGCCAGAAACUACUCACCUAUCUCUGCAACCUUCCUGGUGGUAGUCCCUCAACCUUCAGAUGUAUAGCUGCAUGGGUCUUUCAGACAUCCUGUUGUACUGUUUCGGGAAUUCUCCAUUGAUCAAUGAAUGUCCAUUUAGUUUUGGUUCUAAGUGGGUGAGAUAAAGGGAACAGCUCACUCCCCCAUGUUGAUGACAUAACCUCUUCAAAACUUAUUUACUUUUUCUCUGCCUCUCUUUGGAAGAGUGUUUGUGUGUGAGUGUGUGCUUGUGUGUAUAUGUGUAUGCUGCAGGAAGUGAUUACUUGGUACACUCAUGUGUUACUUAACAAUGGAAGAUGUGUUCUGUGAGACGCAUUGUGAGUAGGCUGCAUUCCUUUCUGAAGGUUCUAGGACAGGAUCCACUAUCUUCCUUUUUCUACUUUCUAAAGGCCAUAUUCCUUGGCUUGUGAAUGCUUCCAUCUUUAAAGCCAACCAAGUCAAGUCAAGUACUCCUCACGUUGCAUUACCCUGACCUCCUCUUCUGUCUACCUUUUCCACUUUUAAGGGCCCUUGUGAUCACAUUGGGCCCACCCAGAUAAUCCAGGAUAAUCUCCCUAUUUAAAGGUCAGCUCAUUAGCAACCUUAAUUUCAUCUGCAACCUUAGUUUCCUUUUCCUUUGCCAUGUAAUGUAACAUACUCACAGAUUUUGGGGAUUAAGAUCUGAAUAUCCUUGUUGGGGGUUAAUCUGCCUACUACAAGCCCUUCUUAUUCAGUUAUUGUAUUUGUUGGCAGUCAUUCUGAAAUAUCCAAACUUUGAAUGCUGAAAGAUUUUUAGAAAGCCAUUUGGUAGUAAAAUCUUAUCUGACCUGAUCUAAUUUUGUGGCAAAAUUUGAUCUGAAUUAAUGUGAGGCCAUACACAAUUUUUUAAAUUGCUUUUUGUGGGAAUAUUCAUACAUUUUCUUACAGAAAUACUAAAAUGUUUGGGUAUCAGAUGCUUCCCAUGGGAGAAAUGAUGUAAUAUACAAUACAUACACUGCACUAUCAGUCUAAAAUCUAGAAAUUCUAAAUUCUGAAACCUAUCUGUUCCCAAUAAAUCAAAAUAAAGAAAUGUGGUCUGGUAUUAUUAUUCUCAUCAUAAUAAUUAGCAUAUAGUUAUGUUACAAUGAAUCAUUUUACUUACUAAGUCUUACUAGGUUCCAUGCUCCAGAAGGAAAAGAGAGGAAAUGAAUGCCAUCCUCCCAUAUAUGAUUACCAGGCAUCCCAAAUGUCUGGCUGGACAUACUCAAAGCACAGGUUUAUUGAAACUCUGUUUGAAUGAAUUUGUACAUUUAUUUUUCAUGAAUAUCACAAAACACUCAUUUAUCCUGUGAUGUUUCUAUUCUAUAGUGUACAUGGGUCUCAACAAAUGUUUUUGGACAUAACAUGUGAUUUCGUGAU